rnacentral:tRNA from 8 species
GCGGGCGUAGUUCAGUGGUAGAACAUCAGCUUCCCAAGCUGAGUGUCGUGGGUUCGAUUCCCAUCGCCCGCUCCA